rnacentral:rRNA from 1 species
UGACGGGGGGAGCAAGCGUUGUUCGGAUUUACUGGGCGUAAAGGGCGCGUAGGCGGUCAGCACAAGUCAGUUGUGAAAUCUCCGGGCUUAACUCGGAAAGGUCAACUGAUACUGUGCGACUAGAGUGCGGAAGGGGCAACUGGAAUUCCCGGUGUAGCGGUGAAAUGCGCAGAGAUCGGGAGGAACACCCGUAGCGAAGGCGGCACUCUGGGCCGGUACUGACGCUGAGGAGCGAAAGCGUGGGGAGCAAACAGG